CCUGGACUACCUCGUGUUUAUCAAGUUGUGCUGAAUUGUCAUCGGUCUCCAGCAGUCCGGUUGGAGACCAGGUGAACUAUUUGAAGUCUCUUUCUCCAAUUUCUUCAGUGCCAGCUGCAGAACCUGGUGCCUCAAUGGUGCCCAAUUAAGUGCUGUAGUGCCAAGGAGUAAAUAUCCAGAGACUGAUGUUUUCCAAGUGUAUCACAUGCCGUAAUGGAGCACGCGCAUCUUCAGAGAACAUCUGAUGAGGUGCUAAAGUGUCUGGUCCCAGAGCUGGACCAUGAAGAAGUGGAACCUGAGCAAAUGGUGGAGGCACCGCUCCUGGCCACAAAGGGUAGAAAUCUGAGUGAAUGAGAUCAAGUCCAAGGGUUCUGCAGCCAGAGGAGUCAGAACCUGCCUCUUCUCAAUAUGGAGCUUCGAGAUUCAGAGGAAUACGCUGCUCCCUUCCCUGUGUGACUUGAGCCCAAGUCUUUGUCUAUGAAGCUCCCAUUUCUUCUCUGACAGGAUGUACUCAAGUCCGGGGAAUGCUGUUCCGCGGUUCUGGUAUGAAGCGAGGCCCUGGGUGCCUGCUUCGGGAAGCAAAGACCAGGCACUCAUCCAUCUCUCUAUUGAACUGCCCGUCUGAUUCAAUCAACUUUUACAAAAUGCCUACUUAGUGGCAAGAUUCUUAGAAAAGCCACUACACUUCUUUGAAGAGCAAAGUUCCUUUCAGUAAAAUGGGGGUAUUGAGAUGAACUCUACUAUAGGAUUUUUACAGAGAGUGAAAUAAAUUAUCUAGAAAGACUUUUUACCUGCAAAGUGUUCUCCCC